GAAUUUGUCAUGCCCUUGGCACUUGAAGAGACUAAUAGAUCUCCAAGCAUCCGGUUGACCAUCUCAAUUAUUUACAGGGAACAAUAAACUGGAUCCUACAUUAAUAGACUACUCAAUGUUCCUCUGAGUAAAGAUGAUUAUAGUAAAGAGGUUAACACCCUGAAGUACUUAGCAGAGGAGAAUGGUUACCACCCGAAUGUCAUCGAUAAAGUGAUUAAGGAGAGAAGGAGAAAACAUAACACGGAAAGAUCUAACUUGUCGACUUCGGAAGCGGGUACAACUCCAAACAAUAAAUACUGUUGCAUUCCUUUCUAUGGCAGCAUUUCACAUAAGAUUGCCAACGUAAUCGGACAGAUUGAGAACUCCAAAGUGUCUUUUAAAUCAGAUAACAUCUUGGGACAGUUUAUAAUAAAGAAUAAGUUCCUUAUCGAUAACCUAGACAAACCUGGCGUCUACAGAUUGGAGUGCGGCGAACCAGGCUGCAAUGUAGUCUAUGUGGGAAGAAGUGGUAGAUCCAUUCGAACGAGAACAAAAGAACAUCUAACUAGCGCCAGGAACCCAAACAACCAUAAAUCUAUCUUCGGUGUUCACGUAAGGAAGAAGAACAUAAUUUUGAUGUGGAAGAUAACACCAAACUUAUUCAUCACUGCGAGUUCGGCUUCAAACAAGAGAUUCUAGAGGAGGUAGAGAUUUUUAAACAUAUGAAGAACAAAGAAUACAGGACACUAAAGCUAUGUUAACAAACAACUUUAAAGACACGUAUAAAAUUUUAUAUUGAUGCUCCUCGAGGACGCCACUGCAUCGUAGGGAAAUUCAACACCUGAGUCAACCUUGAUUGGAAGAAGAGGAAUCCGUCAACAUGAACGUCAGUUUUGUUUUGUUUAUGUUUUGUUUGUCAUUUUAUAUUUUUUGACUUUUCACAGUAUGCCUUUUUGACCAUUGAAUUUUUGAUAUUCAUUUAUUUAUAUUUUCAAUUUUCACUUUGUGACUUAUACUUAUUUUAUCAAUGUUUUACCAUAUGACUAUGGAACCUUAAAAUCGUUAAAAAUCCUGGAAGAGUUGAGAAAGAACUUUAACCUGUUGGAUUGAACUGCAAGCAUUACUUUUAAACAAAUUGAAUACGUGAGUACCUUUAGCAAUGAGUAAACAUCGCUUGUGGUGCUAUAGAUUUGAUUUUUGCCUGUAAACCGUUUAUUUUUCCCGACAUCACACUAACCGUCUAACGCCAUAAUAUGUUUGAGCCACUGAUUUUAAAUGCAAGUCAAAUUUUCCGAAUUUGACAGAUAAAAUUGAAAUAAGUCUUUAGCAGAACGCCCAGAUACUACCUACAUCAUAAUAUCACAUGAACCACUCAACAAGUUAGUCAUUUAAUACAUAACGGAAAAUUGUGAAUACAUAGCAGUUUGUCGGUUGUUUCAUCAACUUUUCAGGAAAAAGAGACUUUGAGAUUUCUUCAAUUUUCUUAUUCACGAAGGCAACCCAAUAGAUUAAUUCAUUUUGUAUAAUUUCAGAUGUACCAGGAGAAACUGAUCUACUGUUAAUAUCAUUGCAAAUCCA